rnacentral:rRNA from 1 species
GGCGCAAGGGUGCGUAACACGUGGGUAAUUUGCCAAAAAGUUUGGGAUAACUCGCUGAAAGGCGAGCUAAUACCGGAUGUGAUCAUCGGGCGGCAUCGUUUGAUGAUUAAAGUUGGGGACCGUAAGGCCUGACGCUUUUUGAUAAGCCCGCGGCCUAUCAGCUAGUUGGUGAGGUAACGGCUCACCAAGGCUAAGACGGGUAGCUGGUCUGAGAGGACGACCAGCCACACUGGAACUGAGACACGGUCCAGACACCUACGGGUGGCAGCAGUCGAGAAUUUUUCACAAUGGGCGAAAGCCUGAUGGAGCGACGCCGCGUGGGGGAUGAAUGGCUUCGGCCCGUAAACCCCUGUCAUUUGCGAACAAACCUUGCUAUUUAAAAGAUGGCGAGCUGAUUGUAGCGAAAGAGGAAGGGACGGCUAACUCUGUGCCAGCAGCCGCGGUAAUACAGAGGUCCCAAGCGUUGUUCGGAUUCACUGGGCGUAAAGGGUGCGUAGGUGGUGAGGUAAGUCGGAUGUGAAAGCUCCGAGCUCAACUCGGAAAUGGCAUUGGAAACUACCUUGCUCGAGGGUUUGAGGGGGGACUGGAAUACUUGGUGUAGCAGUGAAAUGCGUAGAUAUCAAGUAGAACACCAGUGGCGAAGGCGAGUCCCUGGAAAACUCCUGACACUGAGGCACGAAAGCUAGGGGAGCAAACAGGAUUAGAUACCCUGGUAGUCC